rnacentral:rRNA from 1 species
UGGGGAAUCUUGGACAAUGGGGGCAACCCUGAUCCAGCCAUGCCGCGUGAGUGAUGAAGGCCUUAGGGUCGUAAAGCUCUUUCGCCUGUGAAGAUAAUGACGGUAGCAGGUAAAGAAACCCCGGCUAACUCCGUGCCAGCAGCCGCGGUAAUACGGAGGGGGUUAGCGUUGUUCGGAAUUACUGGGCGUAAAGCGCACGUAGGCGGACCAGAAAGUUGGGGGUGAAAUCCCGGGGGCUCAACCCCGGAACUGCCUCCAAAACUAUUGGUCUAGAGUUCGAGAGAGGUGAGUGGAAUUCCAAGUGUAGAGGUGAAAUUCGUAGAUAUUCGGAGGAACACCAGUGGCGAAGGCGGCUCACUGGCUCGAUACUGACGCUGAGGUGCGAAAGUGUGGGGGAGCAAACAGGAUUAGAUACCCUGGUAGUCCACACCGUAAACGAUGAAUGCCAGUCGUCGGAUAGCAUGCUAUUCGGUGACACACCUAACGGAUUAAGCAUUCCGCCUGGGGAGUACGGUCGCAG